CCUUUGACGUUAGCGGCGGACGGGUGAGUAACACGUGGGUAACCUACCUAUAAGACUGGGAUAACUUCGGGAAACCGGAGCUAAUACCGUAUAAUAUUUCGAACCGCAUGGUUCGAUAGUGAAAGAUGGUUUUGCUAUCACUUAUAGAUGGACCCGCGCCGUAUUAGCUAGUUGGUAAGGUAACGGCUUACCAAGGCGACGAUACGUAGCCGACCUGAGAGGGUGAUCGGCCACACUGGAACUGAGAUACGGUCCAGACUCCUACGGGAGGCAGCAGCC
rnacentral:rRNA from 1 species